UAACAAGGUUUCCGUAGGUGAACCUGCGGAAGGAUCAUUGUCGGAACCUGCGUAGCAGAACGACCCGCGAACGCGUUCAUAAAACGAGGGGUCCAAAGCGGGCUUUUUGCCAGGCUCGGCCCCUCACAAGGCCUUGAUCGGGGGAUAAGGGUGCGUAGGCCUGGCCUUCCCUCGACGUUCCUCGGUCUUGGCCUGCUCAACAAAACCCCCGGCGCGGAAAGCGCCAAGGAAUUGCAAACAAAAUGACCGGCCGCCCCGGCUGCCCCGGAAACGGUGCGCAAAAGGGAUGCGAUCGUGAUUUGAGAAUCUAAACGACUCUCGGCAACGGAUAUCUCGGCUCUCGCAUCGAUGAAGAACGCAGCGAAAUGCGAUACUUGGUGUGAAUUGCAGGAUCCCGCGAACCAUCGAGUUUUUGAACGCAAGUUGCGCCCGAAGCCUUUUGGCCGAGGGCACGUCUGCCUGGGUGUCACUCAACCGUCGCCCCUCCCCUUCCUUCCGGAAGGGUGUAAAUCGGGCGGAAGAUGGCCUCCCGUUUGCACUUCGCACGCGGUUGGCCUAAAUGUCCGGUCCUCGGCAGCGUCGCCAUGGCUAUCGGUGGUUGUACGACCCUCGCUAAAUGCUGUGAGCGUUUCGGUGCCGGUGUGGCCUACGAUGCCCCAAAGCGAAUCGGAAGACGCGCUCGCAAUGCGACCCCAGGUCAGGNGGNAAUACCCGCUGAGUUUAAGCAUAUCA
rnacentral:rRNA from 1 species